GACGAACGCUGGCGGCGUGCUUAACACAUGCAAGUCGAACGAAGUGGCGAACGGGUGAGUAACGCGUAAUCAACCUGCCCUUCAGAGGGGGACAACAGUUGGAAACGACUGCUAAUACCGCAUACUGAAGGAGGGGAUUGCGUCUGAUUCGCUAGUUGGAGCGGUAACGGCCCACCAAGGCGACGCUCAGAAGCUGGUCUGAGAGGAUGAACGGCCACAUUGGGAGUGAGAAACGGCCCAGAAGCCUACGGGAGGCAUCAGUGGGGAAUCUUCCGAAAUGGACGAAAGUCUGACGGAGAAACGCCGCGUGAGUGAUGACGGCCUUCGGGUUGUAAAGCUCUGUUAAUCGGGACGCGGUACCGGAAUAGAAAGCCACGGCUAACUACGUGCCAGCAGCCGCGGUAAUUC
rnacentral:rRNA from 1 species